GACAGAGGAUGCAAGCGUUAUCCGGAAUGAUUGGGCGUAAAGCGUCUGUAGGUGGCUUUUUAAGUCCGCCGUCAAAUCCCAGGGCUCAACCCUGGACAGGCGGUGGAAACUACCAAGCUGGAGUACGGUAGGGGCAGGGGGAAUUUCCGGUGGAGCGGUGAAAUGCGUAGAGAUCGGAAAGAACACCAACGGCGAAGGCACUCUACUGGGCCACUACUGACACUGAGAGACGAAAGCUAGGGGAGCAAAUGGG
rnacentral:rRNA from 1 species